UUAUGAUUGGAGAGAAGACAAACAAUGUAAACACAAAAAGAAUAAUUUGCUACAAAGAAUAGUAGAUGGGGGUUGUAUAAAGUGAAGGUUUGUCAAACCAAUACUAAAGAUCUUGCUAGCUAUGAAUGGUUUGAUACAGUAUGAGUUUGUACCAUAUCAUUUUCGUGCAUAUCAAAACUAAGCAGAAUCAAAGAGAGAGGGAGAGAGGAAGAGACAGAGAGAGUGUGUGUGUGAGAGAGAGAGAGGGGGGAGAGGAAGGGAGGGCGAGAGGGAGAGGCCAAGAAAGGGCAUGGG
rnacentral:lncRNA from 1 species